rnacentral:rRNA from 2 species
CUUUUAAUGAGAGUUUGAUCCUGGCUCAGGACGAACGCUGGCGGCGUGCCUAAUA